ensembl:snRNA U6 U6 spliceosomal RNA
GUGCUCACUUGGGCAGCACAUAAGCUAAAAUUGGACCGAUACAGAGAAGAUCAGCAUGGCCCCUGCACAAGGAGAAUGAAUCUCCCAUUAUGUUC